AGGUAGGAAUACCCGCUGAACUUAAG
rnacentral:rRNA from 1 species